UCCGCCCGGUCGGCCCUCUGCCAGCCACUGUUCCUUGUCAGCCGCCAAGCUGGGGUGCAGUCCAGGACAUUGUGUCCAGAGAGAGGUCCCGGCCCCCCACAGCGUGGCACUGACCCACCCACCCCAGGCCUUGAGCCAGGCUGGUCUAUCCCCAGCCCUGGCAUGGACUGGAGGCCAGAGCUGCCCUUGCAGAGGCUGGAGAGUGCCCAUCUUGCAGCCUUGCCUGACUCUAUGGGGACAAGCCAGAGUCCAUGGGUCAGGCUCCCAGGUGCCUCUCGGGGGCAGCCUACCAGGCUCCUGAGACGCCUGCUUUUCUGCCCUUGGCAUUUGUGCUGUUGGACCAAGUUUCUUCCCAUUUGGUCAACAGAAUCUUACAUCGGAGAGUGGGGACUGUUUAGAACUGUGUCAGCAUCUAUGGGGGGCUGUGUGCUGCUUUAUUUUUUCCCUUGUGGCGGGGAUGGAGGCCGGGGCCGCAUGCACUGGGGCAAACCGCUGCUGACAGCUGCGCCCUGGUCCCUGGACUCUGUGUUGAAUGCUGAGUAUGGACCGUGGAACAGAGGAGACGAAGGGAAGCUGAAGAGGACCCGGAUGUCUAGGCCACCUGGCCAGGCCUCUUCUCCAGCCGACUCAGACUUCUUUGCCUGCCAUAGCCCUGCAGGAGUCUGAGGAGGCUCUUGUGCCUUGAGGGAAUCCAGCAGGGCCAGCCUGUCUGUCAUUUCAAUCCCCUUCUCUCCGGGAAAGUUGCCACCCUGCAGGGUCCUCCUCGGCUUCUUCCCGGGGCAGGAAGAAGUGCUGGCCUGCGGAGCAGCUGCAUGGCCUCGUUGGACAGCCCUGCCAUCCCUGUCCUCAUUGUACACAGGGGACAGAUGCAGAGAGAGGUUCAAGGUUACACAGUAAAUUAGCAGCUUCCAUGA